rnacentral:rRNA from 1 species
CGGAGGGUGCAAACGUUGUCCGGAAUCACUGGGCGUAAAGCGCAUGUAGGUGGCCUUGCAAGUGAAGGAUUAAAGACCGAUGCUCAACAUCGGAUCGGUUUUUCAUACUACAAGGCUAGAAGAUGACAGGGGUAAGCGGAACUUUGAGUGUAGGAGUGAAAUCCGUAGAUAUUCAAAGGAACACCAAUGGCGAAGGCAGCUUACUGGGCCAUUCUUGACACUGAGAUGCGAAAGCGUGGGGAGCGAACGGGAUUAGAUACCCCGGUAGUCCACGCUGUAAACGAUGCACACUAGCUCUUGGGAGGUAUCGACCCCUCUUUGGAGCGAAGCUAACGCGUUAAGUGUGCCGCCUGGGGAGUACGAGCGCAAGCUUA